GCUUCUGGCCAUAAACUCACGCCCAUUUUCUUCCUCUCAAACACCGUUGACUCCACGCAUGGUGCCGUUCUGAGCAGACACAGACGACUUGCCCAUCUACGAGACGACUCCUCGGCUCCUCUCUCCCUCUCUCUCUAUUGUGGGUUCGUCGCUUUCGAAGCUAUGAACUGGAUUCAGCGCAAGAUCUAUCUUUACAAUGUCACUUUUGGGCUCUACAUGUUGGAUUGGUGGGAGCGUUAUCUUUUCAAUGCUUUGGUGAUUGUCUUGAUGUGGUUCAUUCUUUUCAAUGGAUCGCGAUCCGUAACUGAGUUCUGCAAGAGGUGGGGUGUGCAUCUCAAACAUGAUUGGAAGGAUUCAGCAGCACAAAUACAUGGGGUUUGAGUACCUCUUCUAGUACAAAGCAUAGGGUGUUCCUUUAGAUUUUUCUUUAUUCAAAGUCCUUUUUCCUUUCUGAUUCCUAGAUGUAAUAUUUCCUGGUGUUAUAGCAUAUCCUAAGGCUGAAAACUCUUUCUGCAUUAUACCAUUUCUUGGGUCCACUGGAUGAAAGAUGUCUAUUACCUCUGUGUAUUGCUUAAAAUCUUGUUAUUUUCGCUUUCAAUGUCAUAGCAUCGGUUGAUGAGAAAUUUUUGGUGCAUUUGGCUGCCACGAGACAGAUAAGGUCAUACAAUAAUGUUGUCAAAUCAUGUUUCUUGUAAGAAUUUUCAGCUAU